rnacentral:tRNA from 1 species
GGGCGAGUGGCGAAAUUGGUAGACGCACUACACUCAAAAUGUAGCGGCUUCGGUCAUGGGAGUUCGAGUCUCCCCUCGCCCA